UAUUUUUUAUUUAUUUUUAUUUUUAGUUUAAUUUAUUUUUUUUUUUGAGAUUAAUUAAUUUAUUUUUGUUUUAGUAUUAUUUUGAAUUAAUUUUUUUUGUUAUAUUUUAUUUUUUACUGUUAAGGUUUAUUUUUCUUAUUAUUAAAGUAGGGUAUUUUCCUCUACCUUUUGUAUCAGGGUUGAUUUAUUUUAUAUUAAUUAUUUAUUUUUCUCGAAUUGAUAUGAUUUAAUAAGAUAUGUUAGUUAAUGUUUUAUAUUUAUUAAUUAUUUCUUUUUAGUUGUGAUAUGCUAUUUCGUAUAUUGUGAUAUCUAGUUUUCUUAUAAUUGAAUUUAAUUCAGCUAAUAUUAAUUAUUUAUUUAUUAUUUAUUUAUUUAUUUAUUAUUGGUAAAAUUACGGGGGAUAAGCUUUUUAAUUUUUUUAUAAAUUUAUUAUAUUUGAUGUUUUAUAGGGUUUAUAAUGCUCAUUAUUUUUAUUUUUUUAUAAUUUAUUAUUUAUUUUUUUUUGAUUUAUUUUUUUUUAAAUUUUUAUUUGAAUUUUUUAAUUAAUUAUUUAUUUUUUUGUAAUAAUGAUUUAAUUAGUAUAUUUAUUUAUUUUUUUUUGUUUUUAACUUAACAUAAGGAAUUUGGCAAGAGUUUAUUUAUUCGCUUGUUUAUCAAAAACAUCUUUUAUUUUGUUUAUAUUAAAUAUGACCUGCCCAAUGAUAUUUUAUUUAAUGGCCGCGGUAUUUUGACUGUGCAAAGGUAGCAUAAUCAUUAGUCUAUUAAUUGUAGGAUGGUAUGAAUGGUUGGACGAAAUAUUGACUGUCUUCAUGUUUAUUUAUAGAAAUUAAUUUUUGAGUUAAAAAGCUUAAAUUUUUUUGUAGGACGAGAAGACCCUAUAGAUCUUUAUUAAUUUAAUUUUACUUAUUUUUGGUUUAUUUCUUUUCAUGAAUUUUUGAUUUUUUUUGUUGGGGUGACAUUUAGAUAUAAUUAACUCUUUUUUUUCUUUUUCAUUGAUUUUUGUUUAUAUGAUUUUUUACUAUUUCUUUAAGAUAUAGAUACCUUAGGGAUAACAGCGUAAUUCUUUUUGAGAGUUCAUAUUGACAUUGGAGAUUGCGACCUCGAUGUUGAAUUAAGAUUAUAUUUUGGUGUAGUAGCUUUUUAUAUAGGUCUGUUCGACCUUUAAAUUCUUACAUGAUUUGAGUUCAAACCGGCGUGAGCCAGGUUGGUUUCUAUCCUUAAUUUUUAAGUUUUAAGUUAGUACGAAAGGACCAUUUAAAUUGAAUAUUUUAUUUUUUUUUGAUUAUAAUU
rnacentral:rRNA from 1 species